rnacentral:rRNA from 1 species
UACGGGGGGGGUAAGCGUUGUUCGGAUUUACUGGGCGUAAAGGGCGGGUAGGCGGCCACCGCAAGUCAGUUGUGAAAUCUCCGGGCUUAACCCGGAAAGGUCAACUGAUACUGCGGGGCUAGAGUGCAGAAGGGGCAACUGGAAUUCUCGGUGUAGCGGUGAAAUGCGUAGAUAUCGAGAGGAACACCUGUGGCGAAGGCGGCAUCCUGGACCGACAUUGACGCUGAACGGCGAAGGCUAGGGGAGCAAACGGG